rnacentral:rRNA from 1 species
AACGAACGCUGGCGGCAUGCCUAACACAUGCAAGUCGAACGAGACCUUCGGGUCUAGUGGCGCACGGGUGCGUAACGCGUGGGAACCUGCCCUUAGGUUCGGAAUAACUCCCCGAAAGGGGUGCUAAUACCGGAUAAUGUCUUCGGACCAAAGAUUUAUCGCCUUUGGAUGGGCCCGCGUUGGAUUAGCUAGUUGGUAGGGUAAAAGCCUACCAAGGCGACGAUCCAUAGCUGGUCUGAGAGGAUGAUCAGCCACACUGGGACUGAGACACGGCCCAGACCCCUACGGGAGGCAGCAGUGGGGAAUAUUGGACAAUGGGCGAAAGCCUGAUCCAGCAAUGCCGCGUGAGUGAUGAAGGCCUUAGGGUUGUAAAGCUCUUUUACCCGGGAUGAUAAUGACAGUACCGGGAGAAUAAGCGCCGGCUAACUCCGUG